GGGCCCCGCACAAGCAGCGGAGCGUGUGGUUUAAUUCGAUGCUACACGAAGAACUUACCAGGGUUUGACAUACAAGUAGUAGGGAAAGGAAACUGGACCGACCCUUCGGGGAGCUUGAACAGGUGCUGCAUGGCUGUCGUCAGCUCGUGUCGUGAGAUGUUCGGUUAAGUCCGCUAACGAGCGCAACCCUCGCUGUGUGUUACAAGUGUCACACGGAACUGCCGGUCAUAAACCGGAGGAAGGUGGGGAUGACGUCAAGUCAGCAUGGCCUUUAUAUCCUGGGCUACACACACGCUACAAUGGGAAGGGACAAUAGGUUGCGAAACCGCGAGGUGGAGCCAAUCCAGCAAAACUUCCCUCAGUUCAGAUUGCAGGCUGCAACUCGCCUGCAUGAAGUUGGAGUUGCUAGUAAACGCAGGUCAGCCAUACUGCGUUGAAUACGUUCCCGGGGCUU
rnacentral:rRNA from 1 species